rnacentral:rRNA from 1 species
AGUGAACGCUGGCGGUAGGCCUAACACAUGCAAGUCGAACGGCAGCACAGUGAGAGCUUGCUCUUACGGGUGGCGAGUGGCGGACGGGUGAGGAAUACAUCGGAAUCUACUUUUUCGUGGGGGAUAACGUAGGGAAACGUACGCUAAUACCGCAUACGACCUACGUGUGAAAGCAGGGGAUCUUCGGACCUUGCGCGAUUGAAUGAGCCGAUGUCGGAUUAGCUAGUUGGCGGGGUAAAGGCCCACCAAGGCGACGAUCCGUAGCUGGUCUGAGAGGAUGAUCAGCCACACUGGAACUGAGACACGGUCCAGACUCCUACGGGAGGCAGCAGUGGGGAAUAUUGGACAAUGGGCGAAAGCCUGAUACAGCCAUACCGCGUGGGUGAAGAAGGCCUUCGGGUUGUAAAGCCCUUUUGUUGGGAAAGAAAAGCAGCAGGUUAAUACCCCGCUGUUCUGACGGUACCCAAAGAAUAAGCACCGGCUAACUUCGUG